GGGUCGGCGCUCAGAAGGGGCCCCGCGAGGCGGAGGGUUGAGAAGGGGCCGGGACCUUUUCCAGCUGACCACCUCUUCCUGUGCGGAGAUCUCUACAGCGCCCAUGCUGUGACCCCUGCAGCUGAGUGGCACAUGGAGACAGAACCAGCUCCAGAAGGAUGCUCAGAAGUCUGGCGCCCGCCCAGAGCAGGAAUCCAGUGGGAGGCCAUUGGCUGUUAACCAGACAGUUGCUUUAAUAAAGCCUCUUUACAGGGAUUUAACGUGCAAAAUGGCGGUUGUACCAGAUUGGCAUACUUUGUAUCCUCACACACAAAAAUUCACGCAUUUAAGACCCC